rnacentral:misc_RNA from 1 species
AGUUCUCUGUUUUAUGAUCAUCUUCUUUGGCAUUACCAAUUCACUCGUGCAUCAAGUAUUCCGAAAAGAUGGUCAACCAGUUGACUACGGAGUCCUCGGGGUGAUGAUGUACACGUGUGUGGUGUGGACAGUCAAUUGUCAAAUGGCAAUCUCUAUCAACUACUUCACUUGGAUUCAGCACUUCUUCAUUUGGGGCAGCAUUGCCAUUUGGUACGUGUUUUUAGUUGUUUAUGGCUCUCUUUCGCCUAUAAUAUCUACAACCGCGUACAAAAUUCUUGUGGAAGCUUGUGCUCCGAGUCCUUUCUUUUGGCUUGUCACACUCCUGGUUGUCGUUGCCACUUUGUUACCAUACGUUACGUACAGGGCAUUUCAAACACAGUUCCAUCCUAUGUACCAUGAUCAGAUUCAAAGGAAACAAUUCGAAAGUUUAAACAGUGACUUUUCUGAGGAGUCCAGUGACAGAGGCAAACAAAAGAUAGAUCUUUAAUAUUUAGUUUGUAGUUUAUAAUUGACUGUUUAAUUUGUAAAGUUAAUCAAGUUGUGUAAAGUAGAUAUAUAACAAUACUGAGUGAAUAGGGCUAGGAAAGUAGAAACUAACAUUUU